ACUUGAGAUUCACUUCCAUUUAAAGAAAAAUACUUUCUUUUCCAGCAAAGAAUUGCUGCUCUGCAUUUAUUUAAAUUGGUUCAUGAUUUCAUUUCCAUCCUCUUUUCUACUGCUCAAGUGGGAGAAAUCUAGUGAAAGCGUAAUCUAAGGACUAAUGAGCAAACUGCUAAGUGCUGGUUUAGUGAAAGUUGAUUUUUCAGUAUUUCACUGGUUGGAAAAAGUGCACUUUUAAAGAUUUUUACCAAGUGUAUCACUAAUAUUGUGUCAGCUAUUUUCCAGUGAUCUGGAUAUGGCCAGGAACUAGGAUACACACAGAAGAUUGAAGUUGCAAGGGAAGAGGGCGUAACUGAAAUCCUAAACACUCUUCGAGGCCAUUUCCCACCACUCAACAUGCACGGAACUAGAGAGUAUUAUGCUCAGUGAAAUAAGUCAAUCAGAAAAGGACAAUUACCAUAUGCUCUCACUCACAUGUGGAAUUUAAGAAACAAAACAGAGGAUCAUAGAGGAAGAGAGAAGAAAAUAAAAGAAGAUGAAAUCAAAGAGGGAUACAAAAUAGAAUUAGAUUUAUUUGUUUCAUGGAAUUUUUCUAGAACUUCUCUAUAAAACAACGUGACAAUCUGAUAAAUGCAUAUAUUGCCAAAUGAUUACCACAAUAAGAACAAACGUGGCAACUUCAGGUCAAGAUGGCAGAGAGAUUCAAGAUCAGAACAGUUUAGAUUAUUGACUUACUGAAUGAAAAACAGAGGCAAGCAUCAUCUUGACUGAAGCCAACUUUUGUUGUACUAAACCACUAAGAUGUGGGGGUUGCUUCAUUACAGUAUGAGCUAGAAAUAGAAAGAUCAACCUACGGUAUUCCUGAGUAUGUUGCCUUUCUUCUAUUAUCUCCAUACUGGACUUCUGGGAAUUCAGCUAAGCAUACACUAUAACCCCUAUUCUAUCCUCCAUCUAUCUUAAACUGUCAUGGUUUUCAUCUCCUACUUCUGUGUUGUGUUUUGUGCUACUUCUGAAUAUGUUUCUCAGUUUGCUAAAUUUCUCUCCAGCU